ensembl:lncRNA
UAAAGGUAAAUCCAUAUUUUAUUCCAUUCUCUCAUUCCAAUUUUCAAUCCACAAGAAAUUCAAAGUGAGUCCCAGUCAUUGCCAUUGCCAGUCACAAACAUUAUCAGUAUAAAACAGACAACAAAAUACUGAAUUUACAACACAAGCUCAUAUGUGACGGAGUUUCAUGUCAAAAUAUAACACUCACUGUGUUUUAACCUUACUUAUAGUCUGAAGUGUCACUAAGUCUUUUAAAGAUUUCAGAAAUUUGAAGAAAUUCUAGCCGAUAUCAGGUGAUUUGACACACCUUUGAAAUGGAACUCCUCAUUUACACCCAUGUGACAUAGAGCAGUUUUAAAUCACUGCUUUGGUGCCAAAACACUAAACCCUCUGUUUCUUUUUAUACUUUCAGAUCAGAUCCAGGUGUGCAGUCAGAUUUGAGUUUGCGUUGUAAAUCCGAGACUCGAGGCUUUGUGUCCACCAGGUGUUUCUUUGCAGGGAGCAGCUAAACGGUUCCUGUGUCGUGGCUUCACUACAUUAUAAGACUGAAAAAAACAGACUGUUAGAGGAAUUUUUGCUUUAAGUCGAAACAAUCUGAACCUCUAGUGCUCAGUGCCGUAAGCGUUUAAAUCAUGCUAAGGCUGUCAGCACUGUGGGAAACAUGCAGUGUCAUUUCCACUGUAAACAACAAGAACAAGAAACCGAUUCUGAGAAAAUGCUCCCGGUGGACGCAGAGCCUCGUGUAGGUGCAACAUACGUUCCCAGUAACAGCGUCCUGCUUAUGGAACAAAUCUGUGGUAACUCACAAACCAGACAAGAAAAGAAUUUGACACGUUAUGUAGCAUACCAACCAAUAGCUGACAACAUCUUCAAUUAAAACAAGAUUAGUGUUAUAUAUAUAUAUUACCAAAAGCAAAAAAUAUAUUUAUAUAACAUUUAUUUUUAUAUCCCCUCCCUCCCAGGAAAGAAAGAAAACAAAAGAUGUUUCAGUAAGUGGGUAAGUUCAGAUUUCACCUCGUGUUAACUCUAAAGGGAUUGUCACAAAAAGGGAUUUUUGUGAGGAAUCAUCUGAACUCAACUUCUGUAA